rnacentral:rRNA from 1 species
AAUCAACGCUGGCGGCGUGCCUAACACAUGCAAGUCGAACGCGAAAGUCCCGCAAGGGGCAAGUAGAGUGGCAAACGGGUGAGUAACACGUGGGUGACCUGCCUUCGAGUGGGGGAUAACGUCCCGAAAGGGACGCUAAUACCGCAUAACAUCCUGCCUUUGAAGAGGCGGACAUCAAAGCUGGGGACCGCAAGGCCUGGCGCUUGAAGAGGGGCCCGCGCCUGAUUAGCUAGNGGUGGGGUAAUGGCUCACCAAGGCAUCGAUCAGUAUCCGGCCUGUAGAGGGCGGACGGACACACUGGGACUGAGACACGGCCCAGACUCCUACGGGAGGCAGCAGUGGGAAUUGUUCGCAAUGGGCGCAAGCCUGACGACGCAACGCCGCGUGGAGGACGAAGACCUUCGGGUCGUAAAC